CCACCUCCUAUACUAAUAACAUUAUAUAGAAAGGUGGAUGCAUGCCUCCGUGCUUACUAUAAAGAGGUAGUCUGAGUCUAUGUAUACUUUAUCGUUCCCUUAGAAAGGCAAAUCUAAUUUCCAUUAUCCUUGUCCUAGAUAUCAAUUAUUUUUGAAAAAAAGAUUGCUAUGUUGAAUGCAAAAGUCCUCAUGUUAUAAUAAGUGGCAAUCAACAGGUCUGGUCAAAGUUUGGAUUUGAGUUGAUCCCAUAUAUUCAAGCCCAGAUGACCUGAAUACUAACCGCAGCCACCGCUAACACAAAACAACCCAUUGACCCACUUUAGGCCCAACCCCAUUCAAUCUGGGGCUAUAUAUUAAAUGAGUAUGCUAUUUUUGUACGCUUUUGGAAUAUUUGUGCAAUAACCCAUCUCUCAUUUUAUUUCUAAAUCGUUACAUAAAUGGCCUAAUAACUCAUAUAAUUACCAAUAUAUAUAUAUAUAUAUAUAUAUAAUACUCCUCUAGGAUCUGCUGUGUUGAGGGACCUAGCCCAACCUAACUUGACCUGCUUAAACGGGAUUGCUGACCCAU
rnacentral:lncRNA from 1 species